rnacentral:rRNA from 1 species
AAGGCCUUCGGGUUGUAAACCCCUUUCAGUUGGGACGAAGCUCCGUGGGUUAAUAGCCCACUGGAGUGACGGUACCUUCACAAGAAGCACCGGCUAACUACGUGC